ACACCUAUAAGAGGNACAGCCUGCCCGGUGACUCUGUUUAACGGCCGCGGUAUCCUAACCGUGCGAAGGUAGCGUAAUCACUUGUUCUUUAAAUGAGGACUAGUAUGAACGGCACCACGAGGGUUACACUGUCUCCUUUCUACAAUCAGUGAAACUGAUCUUCCCGUGAAGAAGCGGGAAUAAAAAUAUAAGACGAGAAGACCCUAUGGAGCUUUAAACUAUACUACAUUUGUUUGUUUAUUAAAAAUUCCAGAAAAAUAAAAAUUUACUUAAACAUUAUGAUUUUAAGUUUUCGGUUGGGGUGACCGCGGAGUAAAACACAACCUCCGCAUUGAAUAAGAUUGUUUCUUUAGCUAAAAACUACAUCUUAAAGCAUCAAUAAAUUGACAUUAUUGACCCAAUAUUUUGAUCAACGAACCAAGUUACCCUAGGGAUAACAGCGCAAUCCACUUCAAGAGCUCAUAUCGACAAGUGGGUUUACGACCUCGAUGUUGGAUCAGGGUAUCCCAGUGGUGCAGCCGCUACUAAAGGUUCGUUUGUUCAACGAUUAAA
rnacentral:rRNA from 1 species